AGGGAAACCGGAGCUAAUACCGGAUAACAUGUUGAACCGCAUGGUUCAACAGUGAAAGACGGUCUUGCUGUCACUUAUAGAUGGAUCCGCGUCGCAUUAGCUAGUUGGUAAGGUAACGGCUUACCAAGGCAACGAUGCGUAGCCGACCUGAGAGGGUGAUCGGCCACACUGGAACUGAGACACGGUCCAG
rnacentral:rRNA from 1 species